UCCACGCUUUUUUGAUCAUUAUGUUUUAACCCUUUAAAUCUAUUUUAACCUUAAUAAAAAUUACAAAUGAUGUGCAUAUUCUUUAUUUUACUUUUCGCUUUGUCCAGUAUUCCACUAAAAACACCGUUCUUUUUUCAAAGCUUUUCUUUCACAACAGACAAAAACCCUUGCUUUCUUCCCUCUUUUUUUACUAUUGGCUUUCACUCUUCUCCCUCAAAAAGCAUCCCUCAGACUGUACUUUAGAAUGGCACCAAAGUAGAACCUGUGAUUUCAAUUGAAGAAGGGAGGUGAGAAACUACAACCCAAAAGAUGCGAGCGGAAGCACGUCACUGCCUUUAUCGAAGCUUCGAUGAACUUCUAGGUAGCAAUCUCAGUCUGAGAAGAAAAGCACCAAGCUUAUUCCUCCAACCAAGCUUCCAGUUAAUGUCCCAAUCUCCUCUCUCCCAUCUAAGAUGAUCACUGAAGCUCCAAGUGGAAGGAGCGGAUUUUCAAGGAUGCAGAUAUAUUUAAAGCUCGAGUGCAUUCUUUUGGGAAUCCAAUAGAAGGAAAUGAAGUAAUUAAAAGUGUGCUUACAGUUGAUGAGCUAAAUAUGUAUAGUUGGACAUGUUUUGGACCAUUGCUUGAAGUGAAGAAGCUUAGAUUUUCUGAUUACUUAGUUCAUAACCUAUUAUGGAGAAGAGUUAUGUCUAACAAUCCUAAGGUGCUUGAGUUUAACUUUGAUGGGUUAGAAGUUCCGUUUACCAAAUGGGAAUUUACAAGUUCAUAGAAUGUUGUUCUUGCAAAUGAUGAGAAGCAAUUGAGCUUUGUUAGUCUGGAAGCAGGGUACCUAGCUCUUUUAAGUGGCAUAGACUUUGUAGAUUUUCUACAGUCGUUGUAGAGUGUCAAAAUUGCCUCUUUUACUUAUUUUUUUCAUCAUAAAGAUUAAUUAUAUAGUUAGAACUAUGUAAUAGAUUGAUCUCAAAAAUAUAUGCUUGCUGAAGGUGAGUAAAACUGUCCAUUAAUAUUAUUAGCUAGAAAUUGUUUCUUUAACCAAACUGAAUGCUACUUCAGUAAAUUCUCGGCUCAGUAUAUUAGAGAGUUCCUUUCCUGAUCUUCUCUGUAAUUCUGAGUCAGCACGUUGUUUCCUUUGUUGUUCUUGUUCGUGUAUUUUCAUCAGAAGUCAAAGAGGUAAACGAAAUUUACCCCCUAAAAUGUAUAUGCUGUUUUAUUUGUAGAGAUAAUAUGGAGAUAUUUUCAUC